AUGCAUGUUCGUCUUCCGUUUAGUGCAUCCACCACCAUAUUUUCUUUUACGUUCCAAUUACUUCACAGUGAUAUAUGGACAUCUCCGGUCGCGAGCAAUACUGGCUAUCUUUAUUACCUCGUGAUCUUAGAUGAUUUCUCACAUUAUGUGUGGACGUUUCCCUUACGUCGCAAGUCUGAUGCACUCACGACUCUUACGACUUUCUAUGCCUACGUCUCCAUACAGUUUGAUCGUCCCAUACAUGCACUCCAAACCGAUAAAGGGAAAGAAUUUGACAACCUUGUCGUUCGCACACUUCUCGCAUCACAUGGCACCAUCUUUCGCCUCACAUGUCCACACACAUCUCAGCAGAACGGUCCCGUUGAACGCGUGCUACACACUCUCAAUGACUGUGUAUGUACCCUUCUCUUUCAUGCUAACGUGCCUCCUCGAUUUUGGCCCGACGCACUCGCCACCGCAUCUCUUCUA
rnacentral:rRNA from 1 species